rnacentral:lncRNA from 1 species
CGCAUAAAGGGCUGAGUCCACGUGUUGGAUGGCGUCCUGUUGCUUUUGCUAUUGCAGAUGUGGGUGAGGAACCUCACAUGGGAGAGGCAGCUUGCAAGACAUGUGACACUUUCGGGCUGAAGCACUUAAGAGCCAGUGUGCCCUGUCCAUUUCUGUCUUCUGUCCUGUGGAUUUGGAAGCAUGUGUUGACAGAACAAUGUCUUAUGGUGAAGGAAGCCUAAACCCCUGAGUCAUUGGAUGGAGGAGAGCCCAUGUUGACCCAUAAAGGACUUCAUGGUCUCGCUCUGUCACCCAGGCUGGAGUGCAGGCGUG